rnacentral:rRNA from 1 species
CCUACGUGAGGCAGCAGUGGGGGAUAUUGCACAAUGGAGGGAACUCUGAUGCAGCGACGCCGCGUGAGGGAAGAAGGUUUUCGGAUUGUAAACCUCUGUCUUCGGUGACGAAACGAGACGGUAGCCGAGGAGGAAGCCACGGCUAACUACGUGCCAGCAGCCGCGGUAAUACGUAGGUGGCAAGCGUUGUCCGGAAUUACUGGGUGUAAAGGGAGCGUAGGCGGGAAAGCAAGUUGAAUGUUUAAGGUACGGGCUCAACCUGUACAAGCGUUCAAAACUGUUUUUCUUGAGUGGAGUAGAGGUAAGCGGAAUUCCUAGUGUAGCGGUGAAAUGCGUAGAUAUCAGGAGGAACACCGGUGGCGAAGGCGGCCUGCUGGACUGCAACUGACGUUGAGGCCCGAAAGCGUGGGGAGCAAACAGGAUUAGAUACCCUGGUAGUC